GUAAAUUAGAGGAACUAAGAGCAUAUGAUGGAGAGAAAAAUUCCAGCUUUCUAAUUUAUAGUGACCUUCAGGAAUCACCAUAAACCUUUACCACCCUCAAAUGAACACUUCAUUCCAUUCUUGAGAUAAGUUUCAGUGCGUGUAAAAAAUCGGACACUUUUUUACAUGCCCAAAUGCAAAUCAAGCUCUUUUGAAAGUCAUGACCUGUGAUGUACACUUAAAAUUUGUCUCUUAAUAUAUUCUUUUGCCAGAUGUGCCUGGAUGAUAUAAUCCCUGUCUAACCUUCUCUUCCAUCUCAUGACAUGGGAAAUACUCCAAGCAAUUGUAUGCCUCAACUAUAUGCAAUGUGAUUUCAUUCUCUCACUCCAUUGAGCUAUCUGCCCACCUAAAUGUGUGGGACUGAGGAAUCACCAUGAAAUUGGACCUGAUAGGAUGCCAGGAAAGAAAUCAAGAAGAAUUAAAAAAAUACAGUAGCCAUACUGUAUUUCAAACUGAGCUGCACUGGGAAUGCUGCAGGAAUUCUAAAGAACACAUCCAAGAUGAAAGGGAAGAGGAACAUUUUUUGGCUGGAGUUGGUGCAAACAAUUAUAGUCUUCUGAAAAGAAGGUGUCAGAAGGGACUGGAUGACUUAAGAAGUUUGUGAUGAGGUAUGGAGCCCUUCGCCCUCAGCUCUCCAGUUUGAAAGUGACCCCGCGCAGCAGUGCCUAGUGAUUGCUGCUGUCCAUCUCAGAGCAGUUUGCUAUUUGUGUUGUUUCUGUCUCUGCCCCCAGGGGACAGAGAACUCUUUCUCAAAAAUGUCCAGCUCCUUCAGCCUGACUUGAGUUUCCUGUUGCAAAAAUGUCUGUGAAGGGAAUAGGUGCCAGACCGUAUUUCUAUCUCUCCUCUCUGCCUGCCCUAUGGGACAAAGCCUUCAGGAGCCUGCCUAUAUGUGCAGCAGGUUUCAUGCGUGCUAUCACUGGUGUAUAAAAGAGCAGCUUGUUGCAGCAGAAGCUCUGGCUAGAUCAUGGUGCACAGUGCACUCACAAGGGUGGCUGCAAUAUUAAGGGAGCCAAAAAGAUCCUUUUAAAAGUGUCACUCCUACCCACCAGGGGACAGCAGGAGGUGCACAUCAACGGUCUGUGUGUCACUCACAGUGGGGACUGCCAGCACGAUGGCUUCUCUUUUCACUGCCUGUUCAGUAUUAUUUGUUUUAUGUUGAUACUGUUGACACACUUAAAGAGAUUAUAUAUUCUUCCCAUGGCAUAAACAAAAUGACUUGCAUUUUGCAAGGAGAGCAGUGGUAAUGAGAAGUCAGGCUUCAAGGGGGAAUGAUGGUAAGGCUGAUGGCAAGGAGAAAUAAAUCUCAUAUGCUUAACUUGGUCUGAGCUGAC
rnacentral:lncRNA from 1 species